AUGACCUGGGCUCUUCUCCUGCUCAGCUUCUUCAGUCAGGGCCCAGGGAUUUGGGCCCAGUUUGCUCUGAUUCAGCCUCCUUCAGUGUCUGGGACUCAGGGACAGACAGUCACCAUCUCCCGUACAGGAACCAGCGAUGACAUUGGGGCAUAUAACCUUGUCUCCUGGUACCAGCAGCAGGAGGGCACAGCUCCCAAAAUGCUGAUUUAUGUUGUCAACACUCGGCCAUCCGGAAUCCCUGAGCGCUUCUCUGGCUCCAAAUCUGGCAACACAGCGACCCUGACCAUCUCUGGGCUCAAGCCUGAGGACGAGGCUGAUUAUUACUGUUGCUCAGGCAGAACUGGUGGCCUGGCACAAUGGUUCAUGCUCAUAGGGAAGUGA